GCCGGGGUAGCCUAGCUUGGCUUAGGGCGCCAGACUCAUAAUCUGGAGAACAAAGGAGGCCAAACGCCCAAUGUCCAGAAGUCGCGGGCUCGAAUCCCGCCCCCGGCA
rnacentral:tRNA from 1 species